rnacentral:tRNA from 1 species
AGCCUCGUGGUGUAGUGGCCUAUCAUUCUGGUCUUUGGAACCGGAGACUCAGGUUCGAAUCCUGGCGAGGCUA